AAGAUUAUACUUUCAGGGAUCAUUUCUAUAGUUUGUUACUAGAGAAGUUUGUCUGAAUGUGUGGCCUUCUCCU
rfam:Canis lupus familiaris chromosome 32, whole genome shotgun sequence.